ACCCGUGUCGAAGCGAGUUUCUUUCUUCUAGCCCACCGCAAAUCAUCAAAAUUGCAGAUCAUGCUCCGUCGCACUUGCUUGACUGCUCUGCAGCGCAGCAGCGUCCGCUACGCUGCCGCGGCUCCGAAGACUUCAUUCGCCGCUGGGAAAGCUGGUGCUGCUUCCACGGCCCCUGAAAUGACCUCCAAGGCCGGUGCCUCUACCACCGGUGGGGACACGGUGAUGGACAAAAUGGUCCUUUUGGCGGCCCUUGGCUCGCUUGUGGCUUGGUGGAUGACUGUGCCUGGCCCCCAGCACCAGCACUAAGAAAGGGAGCGUUGUUCCCCGGAGGAGUAAAUCACCCAUGCGUUUUUUUUUUUUCCCCUCGGUCGGUUUCCACACCCUUACCGCGCGUCAGUAAGAAGCAGGGGAUUUCUGUAAUUCAGGGCAAUGGGUCAAAGGAAGUUGCCAGAGUGGCGGGUCUAAUAGUAGUAUCAUCUCCGAUGAAGGCAACGAGAAGAAAAAAGUGCGCUGUAGCACGAACGCAGGGGUGGCGAGAAAUCUCUGUGGUGUGUCGUUGUGACUACAGACCCUUUCUGUUUUGUAGGUUAACUCUCAUCAGCCUGCCCUAGACUUGAGGAGUGAUACCGGCAUGCGUAGUGGUCCGGCAUCCUCGUCCUGGAAGCAUGACGUUGCAUGCCUAUCCG
rnacentral:misc_RNA from 1 species